AACAUUUCAUCUAUGAGCCAAUCUUUGCAUCUACAUGUUUAAACUUUUGCUUCAUUAAAGUUUGAUUGUACGCGUGCAAUGGAAAACAUGCAAUUAUCAUGCAUUACAUUAUAAUCAUCUAUUUUGUUCCUUGCAGCGAGAAAUUAUUAGGAUUUAACAAAACGACUGGUUGGACAAAACAUCAACCGAUAUGCGUAUAGUGUCUAACACGAUUUUUCAACAAAUGGCACAACUGCUGCUCCUGAUAUUAUGUAUAGCAGAAUUAUCUAUAGGCGCACCGCUAGAGACCGACCGACUCCGUUUCUUAAAAGGGCUUGAUGUUUGCGAAUGGGGUUGUAGCUCAGACAUUGACGAAAAUCUUAAAAUGUGUGAAGCAUUAUGUCAUCUAGACAUCCAGCAAAACCAUUUUCAACACGAAAAUGAAAUUAAAUGUCAAGGUGUAUGCGCCAGCAAGUACAUUAGUUGCUUUGAAGGGUGCUCGAAAAAUUCAAGUAGGACAACUAUUCCUACUUGAAGUCAGUGAAUAGGACUUUUAUUGAUACAAACGUGAUUCAUGCUGUGAUUUGGGCAAAAUGGAGUCAAUGCGGUAUUGAAUUAUUGCUGAAGAACCCCCACAUCGUAAUUUAUGUUGCAAUGUUUUGCUACGAAAUAUUGUAAAGAACAAGUUAAAUAAAUAAGUGUACAGGAACAAAUGUCAGUUGCAAAGUCGCAACCAACAAGCGAAACAGAAAGAAAUAUCGUGCCAUCUUUCUUAUAGCUGAAAUAAAAACACAAAGAGAGUUUUGUUAGGAGCUGCAAAUUUAAACUGGGGAACUUAAUGGAGAAAAUUGUUUAGCUAUUGAAACUUUUCUUUUGCGUUUCAAAAGGAAUGUAGUGUACAGAGUUAUCAGUAUUUUAAAAUAUGAUGUUGAUUUAUUAGGCAAUUAAACUUGCAUAUGUUAAUAUAUAAAUUUCCAAUGAUAUACAGGUUGUAAAGUAAAGGUUGUGAAGAAAGCUCGUGUUGGUCAUACCGGGAAUUUGUACAGAAAGUAACCUACCGGCAGCAAUGACUGCAUAUUUGUGAUAUGGGCGGGGAAAAGCAGCACACUAUGGUAACUGUAUACAUGUAAACACAAAUUUUCGUCUGCUCAAAUGUUUAAUAAGAAUAAUCAAAAAGUUCUACAUACUCAUUCACAACCUUUGACUUCUGUUUUUUUUCUUGGCAAAUGAAACAUUGAAUGCAUAUCUAUUCCAAAUGUUAUUUCUGGUUUACAUCUGCGGAUGUCUCUAAAUUGCUUUUUGUACUUUUAUUAUGUAUAAAUGUUAAGAUCUGCUCAACCCGGGGCUAGAGGGCGUGGACGGUAGCAUGCAUUUCCACUACCGUCCAUGAACAGGCUCAAUCAAACCGAACCUGCAACAUUUUCGUUUUUGCCGUGUUGAACAACCUGUUGAGUUUCCACUUUUUCUAUUUUAUUAAUAUAUUCUUCAAUCUAUUUCGUACAAAUUGCACUCUUGCCAUAAACACAUGUUUCAUUUGCUCAUCUCGAGUUACUAGUUAAUUGCCUAACUUGUCUAGCCAUAUUUUCUGUUACAAAUCACUUCAUAAAUUAAUCAUGCACGGGAAGACUACAUCACGUCAUAAAUUUAGAUAUGAACAGAAAUCUUCAAUACUCCAAACAAUCACUUGUAACUCUAGACAUUAGACGAAUGUCAACAAUGGUGGGUCUGAAUACACAAUCCAGAGGCUGUUAGGUCUAAUUAAAUGUCACUUUCUAUCAGUUUUGUGUCUGAUAAAAUUGGCACAAAUUAUUCUUGAAUUCUUAUGAUUUUACAGUGAUAGAUCUUUUUAAAAUUUUCCAAUUGAAAUAUGGCUAAUGAUGUGCACAUAUUUAGAAUAAGUUCGGAUGUUACACAAGAACAGGGUGACACUAUUCAGAAUCUUUUUAUGCACAAUGACUGAAAUUACUGUGAUAGAUAUAAUGUUUCAAUAAAAUCUGGAAAGUAGAUCCCUCGGAAGCAUCUAGAACAAGGCAAACAGUGAAAAUUGCAGACUCGGUUUGAUUGAGUCUGUUCAUGAGCAGUAAUGGAAAAUGCAACACUGCCCACGCCCCCAAGCAUCAUAUUCAAUCGUGCAAAUCUAAAUGAGUUGAAAGUGAAGAAAAUGUAAGUCAUAAUAAUAAUCAUGAUAAUGAAAAUAACUCAGAAGAACACAGACAAUUCAUAAUUCAACAGGAUAUGAACGAAGAGGAAUGUGAAUACUGUUUUUGCAGACCAUGUAUUACAAAUGAGCGAAACCGUCAGUUAAAGUGUGAAACAGAAAAUCAUACACCAAGUUCAAAGAAUCAUAGACUAAGGAAAGAAAAUUAUAAGCAUUUUUGGACCAUGAUGUUUCAUAGACAAGUUUAGGACAAAGAGUGAUACAAAGCCAUAAAACGGAAAGCCAAGAAUGAGGUUAUAUUGAUGGCACAGAAGGAACAUUAUGCUUGAGUUUGUGCUGACUCUUGUAUGGUAGUGGUAUCCUAAUAGACCUGGCCAUCCGUAUCGUGGACAUUUAUGGGAGUUAAUAACUAAUAGCAUACCUUGAACUAGUUUCCACUGGAUGUGACUGAUUUAACAAGAGCUUUUUUCCUGCCACUUGCUGAAAUGUAAACAUAACCUGUGUGACUCACUAGCUAGCUACACCGUAACUUCCUGUCAGCCAAUGAAUGUACCUGCCAAUCAUCUGGGAGGUAAAUUCAAAUUUAGUAGCAGACGGCAAAUAUUUUUUUGUUGAAAGAUGCAUGAAUAAUUGUAUCACAUCAAAUUUUCACCAAUGUUUAAAAAUAAAAUUAUCCUAAUAAACAGUUUUGCCAAAUUUCAAAGAAAAGUGAUCAACAAAAAUGUAUAAAUAAGCAUAAACCUUUGAAGUUGUAUGUUUUGUUUACAGAUCAGAAAUGAGUCUCUCUAAGCUUGAUUCCCUUUUAUACUGGUCCUCCGGUGUUUAAGUAAACAGCUGUAUUAUUAAAUAACAUGUAAAAGUCAACAGGAAUGAUUGUUAAGAGUCAUUGAAUGACUACCAAUGACCAUGUUUUAGGUUUUGCUAUUGGAUAAGUUGAGAUGAAUGUAUGCCAUUUGGUAAAAUUUUGUCCUUAAUUAAAUCUGUUUUAUAGAAAAUAUUGUUUAACAGCACACUUACGUUGCAAUAUAUUUAGAAGUUAUUUGUUUUGUUUUACAGUUGUUAGUAGAUCUAGUUGAAUUUAUAUUGUGAAAAUAUUUUUUUUCAAUAACUGGCAUAAAAUGUUGGUGUUAGAAUCAACGUAGAAGAAAUGCUUAUUUUCUGCAGUUGAAAAUAUAAGAACUUAGAAUAUAGAAUAAAUUGUAUUUUCUCCUAUAAGAAAGUCUGAAUAAAAGCUAUAUUUGUUCAUGAUCUAACUAUUCAUAUUCUUGUUGUAUGGUUCACAUUCUUAUUGUUAAGUUUUCGUAUGCUAUUGAUUUAUACAUUCGUGUUUAUCAUAUUGUCAAUUAGAAUUUGUAUAUGUUUUAUUUCAUUAUCGCAAAUGUGUUCCUUCUGUGUUGUAUAAGUUUUAAAAGAAUAAAAAGCAAACUUAAAGUUUGGGCGUCGUUUUCAUUAACCAGUUAGAACUGUGACACAAUGAAUAUGACGUCAUGCGACGAUUUGACGUUAUAUUUGACGCCAAUAUAGUAUCUCAACCUAACGUCAACCUAUAUUUGUCGGAGAAUUUACAACACUUGAGUACCUGCCACACAAAUCGAUCCAGUUUACAGUUUGGCCAAUCUUAAUAGGCAUUUUUAGGCUAUCCCGAUGCUGACUUGGAUUUUGUAUGACAAUAAAAUAUCAGGGGUUUUCUCAAAUGCAUUAUAGUAUACACACGUAACCAAGAUACAGGGUUGUAGCAAGCGGUUACUUAUUUGAGGGGAACACUAUACAUUGUUUUCGAAAAUAGCUCAGAUAGAAUUCAAUUAAAAACAUAGCAUUAUUUUACUACUUUUAAUCGUGUUUGUGCGUGUGUGCGUGCGUGCGUGUGUAAACCAGAGAUAAACGUAUGCUCACUGUUUCUAGGGUGCUUCAACACAUAUGUUUUAAAUUUGUUGCUUUUCAAUCAUUUUGUACAUACAUUGUAUGCUUUGAAAUACAUAUCAGAACAACU